GAAAUGGAAAGUCAUAACAAGUCCUAAAAGAGAUAAAAACAAAAUCUCAUUGGAUAUUUAUUUAAAUGACACUCACUUAACUGAGUUAUAUAAACAGCAACAGGUGUAAACAAGCAUUAAUCGACAUUUUUCAGCUGUAAGAUUUAUAAAUGCUGAGGAUGCUGUUCCAAUGUUUUCUUGCCUCCCUUAUUGCCGGGGCACUGACUGAACCAACGAUUACUAUGGCGAAUGUACAUGAAAAACUACGACUUUUGCAGCCUUCGUUUCUUGUGAUUGAGCAGCUUUUUGAUGUGAAAGACAACCACCUCUGUCUUGAAAAAAUGUUUUGCCUACUGGAAACAGAAAUGCCAAACGAAGAACAUAACCCUUUCAAGUACUAUUCAUGGUUCCUUACCAACACCCACCAUGAUUCGGACGAGGGGGCUUUCAAGCAGAUCGAAAGUCUGGAAGUGCAAUAUCCCAAACUCACAAAAAUCAUUGACAGCAUUAAAUAUGGACAAUAUGCUAACACAAGUCAAAACUGUAACCAAAGAUACUCUGUAUGUAGUGUCACACAGAGUGAUCAGAUUUCAGUUGCAAAGGGUUACAGUGAUGAUAACAUUGCUAAGCUAGGAAUGCCACGUCCGGCGAAAAGAGGAACUUCCGCUUGUUUCUGGGGGUAGUCUAGGAUGUGCGGCUCUCAGUGGCGGGUGUCUUAUUUGCGCUGCUUCUACAGCAGGAACAUGCACGGCAGCGUGCGGCACAGCAGCUCUCAGCGCCUGUGUCGGAUUUGAUGUUGGUUGCAUUGUUGGCUGAACUGGAAAAAAAUAUUGUCUUAAAUGACUUGUUUUUUUAUCUCUGAUUAUUAGCAGAUUUUCACUUAAACUAAUAAUUUAUUACGAUUAUCUACGUUCAGAAGAUCAAUAUGAACGCAUUUAUAUGAUAUGGGUGUAAAAUUUGGAUGAAAUCAUAAGAUCUACAUCAUGUUUUUGUGUUAAGAAGUCAAUGUAGAUAUUGAACUGUUCGAUAAUCUGAUUAAAACGCGGUGUUACGAUUAA